rnacentral:rRNA from 1 species
CCUACGGGGGGCAGCAGUGGGGAAUAUUGGACAAUGGGGGCAACCCUGAUCCAGCCAUGCCGCGUGUGUGAAGAAGGCCCUCGGGUUGUAAAGCACUUUCAGUGAGGAAGAACGCCUGGUGGUUAAUACCCAUCAGGAAAGACAUCACUCACAGAAGAAGCACCGGCUAACUCCGUGCCAGCAGCCGCGGUAAUACGGAGGGUGCGAGCGUUAAUCGGAAUUACUGGGCGUAAAGCGCGCGUAGGUGGCUUGAUAAGCCGGUUGUGAAAGCCCCGGGCUCAACCUGAGAACGGCAUCCGGAACUGUCAAGCUAGAGUGCAGGAGAGGAAGGUAGAAUUCCCGGUGUAGCGGUGAAAUGCGUAGAGAUCGGGAGGAAUACCAGUGGCGAAGGCGGCCUUCUGGACUGACACUGACACUGAGGUGCGAAAGCGUGGGUAGCAAACAGGAUUAGAUACCCUAGUAGUC